rnacentral:tRNA from 1 species
UAUAUAUUAAUGUAUUAAGCAUAAAAAAUUUUGAAAUUUUUAGAGAUAGAAUGAUUUCUAUUAUAUAUAA